rnacentral:rRNA from 1 species
AACGAACGCUGGCGGCAGGCCUAACACAUGCAAGUCGAGCGAGGACUUCGGUCCUAGCGGCGGACGGGUGAGUAACGCGUGGGAACGUGCCCUUUGCUACGGAAUAGCCCUGGGAAACUGGGAGUAAUACCGUACGUGCCCCUCGGGGGAAAGAUUUAUCGGCAAAGGAUCGGCCCGCGUUGGAUUAGGUAGUUGGUGGGGUAAUGGCCUACCAAGCCGACGAUCCAUAGCUGGUUUGAGAGGAUGAUCAGCCACACUGGGACUGAGACACGGCCCAGACUCCUACGGGAGGCAGCAGUGGGGAAUCUUAGACAAUGGGCGCAAGCCUGAUCUAGCCAUGCCGCGUGAGCGAUGAAGGCCUUAGGGUUGUAAAGCUCUUUCAGUGGGGAAGAUAAUGACGGUACCCACAGAAGAAGCCCCGGCUAACUCCGUGCCAGCCGCCGCCGUAAUAC